rnacentral:lncRNA from 1 species
UUUUUCCUUACAGAUUGUUUUAGUUGUCUUAUUUCCAUCUUAAUGUUCUAGAUGCCUAUAGUUUUUAUAAUAUCUCAUCUUUUUUUUUUUUUUUUUUUUUUUUUUUUUGGCUGUGCCCAUGGCAUGUGGAAGUUCCUGGGCCAUGGUCAGGGAUCAAACCCGCAUCACAGCAGUGACCUGAGCUGCUGCAGUGACAAUGCCAAAUCCUUAACCUGCUGUGCCACAAGGGAACUCCACCGCAUACUUCUUUGGAUUUGGAUAAAUGUAUGAAUCAUAGGUCCCUAACAAGUUAAAAUUAAUCAUGGCAGUUCUUAGGAGCCAUUCUGUUGAAAUGAAAUAUGAGAUAGGUAAAUAUUUGUUUUAAAAACAUAAAUAGGAUUCUAAGGGGCCAAUGACUUGAAAAGAAAAAGUCUGCUACACAGUUUAUUACAUUUUGUUGAGAGCCAACUUCUCCCACACAUCUGAGAAAUAACACACUUUAGAACGAUAAAACACGAUUAAUUGAACCAUUAUAAGGAUUUUCUUUUAAGAGGAAAAGAAAAGAGGGGAAGAAACCUCGCUGCAUUAAAAAGGGGAACUCCAUGGUCUCCAGAAAGACACUUCUAAUUUCUUUCCUCAAACCACCAAUUAAAUGUACAGUUUAAUACAGCCUAAAAUAUGGUUUUCUUUACCAAAUACAGUUUUUCUUCUUGCUAGCACAUUACUAUUUGUUUAACCUUGAACAGUAAAGUGUUAUAUAAAACCAAAAUCUUUAUAGGAAACAGCACUAUUUAUUCAAUGAAGAUCUACUGUGAAAAUUUUGUGCGAACACCAGGAUUAAUAACUACUCUUCUCUUUUGAAAAGUGCAAUAGGGAACGAUUAAGCCUUCCAAAAGAUUAUACAGUACUUUUGGCAGCUGUUAAACGCCAUGCUGAGGUGUUGGUAGAGACUGCUCAUCUGUUAUUUAUCCUUUACUCAGGACUUGCAGUUAACUAAUAGGCUAGCUGUAUUUUUAUCUAUUGAAAGAGUAGUCAGUGACAAAAUGCGUCAGAUAGAUUAUGUAGCAUCAGAAAAGAUUUAUGCUCUCUUGGCUUUUCAGCACUUGAUUUGAGAAAUAAAGCAAAACUUGAGUUAAUUUUCACUGUAACAGGCAGCCCCAUUGAUGAUUACCCAGGCAUAAAAAUUAAAAAAUGAAAAUAUUCACACAAUAAGUCAAAUAUGUAGCAUAGGAACAUUUUUUAAAUAGAUAAAAUAUUAAAAUUAGGUAGUAGAAUCACUGAAGCAUUCUGUACUCAAAUAAUUUUCUAAGGUUUUAAGUAGACAGUGAUUUAUACGUGUAAGAGUGUAUGUGUACACACAUAUGUCUUUGUGUUUGAGUGUUGGAUUGAGCCAGGAAGAUUGUAUGAAUUUGUGAAAAUAAAAGUCAUCUAGCUAAAUAUCAGGUUUAGUGUUUUAUAUUUUCUGUAUAUAAUCAUAUGAAAAAUAUCUGCUUCCCAAAAUAUGUAUGAUUCUCAGACUAUGAAAGAAAUAGGUUAGAUAAUAUCUUAGGCAUUAAUACUCUUAAAUUACUUCAAAUAUAUCCAUAAUAAAAAUUGUAGUUUCUUCCAGAACCAUAAUCCCCCCUUAAUUUCCAUGCCAAUGGCUAGCAGCACAGUGGCCCUUGGUUCUGGCUCUGUAUUCAAAUUAUUCUGAACCAGCCCCAUGCCUGUGCCAUGCUGCUCUGCGUUGCUUCAGGUAUCACCUUGUUGCUGACACCAGAUGCUUUCUGGCCUAAUGUUUGCUUCCUUGGCUCUCCUUUUUCCUUUCUCAUGCAAACUAUACACAUGCUCUCUUUUUUCCAUUUCCUUUAUUUUUGUUUUUAAAUUAACCUAAUUUAAGAAAAAAUGGAAAUGAGGAAAAGGAACACUUAGCACUCUAGUUCAAAACCACAGAUGAACAAAGAACAAGCUUAGAGAUCAAGGGGAGAAAAUAAAGCAUUUAGAUGGGAGAAUCUCAGAAAAAUAGUGCCAGGUACUAAUAGGAGGAGGUGCCUAGGAGACAGAAGGUUUGGAACUUGAUAUCAAAUCCUUGAGAAGCAGUGGCUGAAGUUCCGGAAAGUGGACUCACUUGCCAGGAGAGUGUAAAGGGAGAAGGAAUCCACUAGAAAUAACUAAAAUAUGGGAUGGAGAAAAAAGUAAGGCAGUAUUCCUGGGUCCUAGCACUUUACCUGGAUAUACAUAGUAAGCACCCAAAAUAGUUGAAUGGGCAUGUUUGUAGCUUAAAAAAAAAACAGACAAUGGAAAUGACAACACAGAAAAUUCAUGAGAGAAAGGAUUACGAUAGAAACAGCUGCUGUCACCAAAAUUUGUUGUACUCUCUUCCAUAGAGUAGAGUUGUUGCUAGAAUGUGUCUGUCCAGCCAAGAAUACAUGACUCAGCCCCAUCUGCAUCUAGCUAUGGCCAUGUGUCUGAUGGGUGGUAUUUCUUGGCCAAAACCUUCAAGAAGCAGGUAUGCCUUUUCCUGUUUUCUCUUUCUCUUUCUAUGGCAUAGAGCUAAAUGCUUCCAAGGCUCCAGAUUCUUAAGUCUUAUGGGAUAGGGGAACCUCCAAAUGUAGGUAACUGGGAUCAUUAGAUUAACAAGAGGAGGAACUCACUCAUUGCACAGGAAUACUAGCUUCUGCUAUUACUUGAGCCCAAAGUAUAAUAUUGGAAUAAGCCACAGUGAUACAAAGGUUUAUUAGUUCUAGGUGCUAGCAUUUCCCUAACUUGGAUUUUUAAGAAGACAAAGACCUCAAGUGGCCAGGAGAGAAACAUCAAGUUCACAGCAUAUCUCACCUCUUCCCUCUGUUCUCCCUUGAGGUUUAGUUCCAUCAAGUCACAUCACCGGUGUUAACAAUGACAGUGUGUCAACUUAUAAAAGACAUACAAUAGAGCCUCUUCUAAAUCCAGCUAAACCACAUGAACCAGGACACUCAUCAGUUUGGUUCACAAACUGGUAAAAAAACAAGCGGUAAAAAACAAAAACAAAAAAACCCCACAAAGGAACAGAUAUGCUCAUGCCCACUUUGCUCACUCAGGUUCUUUCUGCCCAGGUAUCCCCAGCAUCACUAGCACCAAAAUGAAGACAAGAGGGAUGCUCCUUUAGGUAAUGAUGUGCUUCCUCCAACACUUCCUUCCUUAGGCAGGGGAAGUUCAAAUUCAUAGCUACAGCUGCCACCACUGCCAUGGAGGAAAGGAGCUGAGCUGCCCACCUCAAUGUUCUCUAUCAACACAUUUUGACUCUUGUUCUUUUUUUUCCCCUUAAAACAUGGUGUAUUUGAUGACACUGGACUCCUGAGAGAGUUCCUGCUCAGCUCCUCAAUGCUAUCUCUUGGAGAAAAAGGAUAGUUAACACUGAGUUAGUUGCCAGGGCUAGUAUUGAAUUAUGAUAUUCAGUUCUUGCAAGAGCUCUUUAAAAUAAACAUUAUUAUCUCUAUUUUUAUAGACAAGGAAAUUGACUCAGAGGCUGAAUAAUUUAUCUGAGGUCUCAAAGCUAACUGUAGUAUUACCAUUCAUAAUAUCCCUUAGCUUUAUUGAAUGCUGUUAUUUACUGAAGACUUGAUGGUCAUUAUCACAUUUAAAUGUUACAAUUUUACAGCAGAGGUACUUGUUAUGAGUUCAGUUGUGUUGCCCCUAGUGUUAACUCCAGUACCUGUGAAUGAGACCUUAUAUGGAAAUAGGGUCUUUGCAGAAGUAAUCAAGAUAAGAUGAAGUGAUACUGGUUUGAGGUGGGCCCCAAUCCAAUGCGACUGGUGUCCUUAGAAGAAGAGAAGAGACACAGAGACAGACACAGGAAGAAUUCUGUGUGAUGAUGGAGGCAAAACUGGGAGUGUCUAUAAGCCAAGAAACACUAAGAUUGACAGCAACAUGGGAGCUAAGAGAAAGUAAUAACACAGAUUUUUCCCCUGAGACUUCAAAGAGAAUAUGCUCCUGUUAACACCUUGAUUUGAGACUUUUAGCCUCCAGAACUAUAAGAGAAUAAAUAUCUGUUGUUGUUAACCCACCUAAUUUGUGGUAAUUUGUAUGACAACCUAGGAAAUUAAGACAGUGAUUUUUCUGUUUGUUUGUUUAGGGCUGUACCUGUGGCCUAUGAAAGUUUUAGGGCUAAGGGUUGAAUUGGAGCUGCAGCUGCUGUUUUAUGCCACUGCCACAACAAUGUCAGAUCUGAGCCACCUCUGUGUCCUACACCACAGCCCUUGGCAAUGCCGGACCCUUAAUCCACUGAGCAAGGCCAGGGAUUGAACCUGCAUCCUCAUGGAUACUAGUUAGGUUCAUUCCCCGCUAAACCACAAUGGGAACUCCUAUAACAGUGAUAUUGUUUAUCACUCUACAGAUGUGAAAACUGAUACUAGCUAACUUCCCAGAGCUGUCUGAUUCCAUAGGGCCUGUGUUCUUAUCUACAGCAGUAUAUCAGUAUUCGAUUCAUUUUUCCAUGGGGAUAAAGUCUGUGUUUUCAUUUGUUUAUUUGUUUUUUACUAUAUAUACAUUUUCACAAGAAGAAAUUAUGUUGUAAGGGUCUGUAUGUGUUUAUAAGUUAUCAAAAUGUCUUUAAUAAAAUCUUAGUCACCUUUGCCAGAAUAGUGAAUAAAGAGAAUUAUAUAGAACCCUUUCUUGCCAAGAGCCUAAAUGCCACAUGUUUGGAUGAACACACAGAUAUAGGACACAGGAAGGAAAAAACAGAAAUGUUAGAUGAUCAUGAAGGGAACCAAAAAUUAAAAUAAAGAUAAUUUCAUUCUAUAAAUCUAUAAUCUGUCAAAUAUUGUGGAACAAGCCAUACUCCAGACUGAGAUGGCCCUGUUACAAUAUCCCAGGUCUCCUGUAAACAUUUCAAAGAUCUUCCUGAGUAUCAAUCAGAUUUAUUAACAACAAAAUGAGGACAGUGACAUCUACCUUUUAGGCAUUUGUAAGAUAUAAGACAACAAAUAUAAAGUCCCACACAUAACCCGUUUCACUAUAAAUACCAAAUAAGUGAGUAUGAUUUUAGGUAUAUUUAACUUGAACAGCUCAAAAUUAAAUUAUAAAUAACAUUCAGCAUUAAUUUUAAUUAUUGCCUGAACCCAGUUCCCUGAUGUGACCCUUGGAGCAAGUCAAUAAUUCAAAGCUAGAGAGUUCCCAUCAUGGCGCAGUGGAAACGAAUCCGACUAGGAACUGUGAGGUUGUGUGUUCGAUCCCUGGCCUUGCUCAGUGGGUUAAGGAUCUGGAGUUGCCAUGAGCUAUGGUGUAGGUCGCAGAUAUGCAUCGGCAGUCUCCAUCACAACUUGUGGCAAUGUGGGAUUCUUAAACAACUGAGUGAGGCCAGGGAUUGAACCCACUUCCUCAUGGAUACUAGCCAUGGAUACUGGCCGGGUUCUUAAUCUGCUUUGUCACAAUGGGAACUCCUAAAGUGCUUAAACACUUUGAAAGGGCACAGUUUAAGCAAACAAUAGGAUAUUUCCUCCUAAAGGAUAUGUCAAGGAACUAGGAGACAUUGAGUUGGCUGGUUGGAAUGCCUGUCAUAAAGGGACUUGAACAUCUAAUGGGUGUUUGGAGAAAAUUACACUUGAGUAUCUGCAGAGAGUAUAUGAAUUUCUCUAUUUUAUUGCAAGUAAUGAAACAGAACUUCUUAAAAAGGAAUUCAGUACAUAUUUGUAGUAUUCUUGUCAGUUUUAAAUUUUGAGUAUACUUUCCAAGGAUCCUACAGAAAUGCUAUAUACAGCAAAACCAGUAUAGAUGAUCACUGGGAUUCUGCUAUUUUAUUAUUUUUCUUAUUUACUCAGUUAUACUAUAUUAAUGCAGCUUUACUGUGUUCAUAUCAUCUACAGGUCAAGGCUUAAUAUACUUUAAGGAAAAAAAAUCAGAAACACUCUUCAUAAAAAUUUCAGGAUAAAGUUCUAAUCAUGAGGAAGAUUUUUUUCUUUUUAUUGUAUCUAUAUGAGAUGAUGGAUGUUGACUGAACCUAUUGUGGUGAUCAUUUCACUAUAUAUAUAAAUCAAAACAUCAUGUUAAAUGUUUAAAAUAGUGAUGCAUGUCAAUUAUUUCUCAAUGAAACCAG